GAUCCACGGCUAGAUGCUGCAGGCUGAUCAUCUGCUGAGAGGGAACAGGAAAGACAUACAGCGCGCUCGCGAGACGCACCACCAAAACAGAUCAAUUGAAUAAUCGUCGAGUUGAGUGGCCGUCAACGUAUUGGUGUGGUGUGCGUGAACUGUACGGUCGGCCGGGUGAGAAACGUCCAGAUCUACAAGAGGCAGUCAAACGUCUUGCAACCGAUACAGUCGUACCUCAGCGCUCUGCCUGUGAGGAAGCGGUUCGCUCGAAAGCAAAGGGUAGUUUCUCCAGAAGUGUGCACUAGAACGUGCUGAGUGUGUGAAAAAAAAAACUGUUUGUGAAAGUGCUUUAAGUGUCACAGUGUAACAGCCAAUCAGUGUCACCUAAAUAUGGCUAAAGUUCCGCGUGUACUGGCGAUGACGGCUACCGUCGUCGCUCUAGCCUGUCUGGCCGGUGUUGUGCAGAGUCAUACGUACAAAACCGGCGACUGUCCAUCGGUUGAGCCGAUGAGUGGUUUUAGCAUGAAGCAGUUUCUCGGCAUCUGGUACGUUAUCCAGAAGACGGGCACUGCCUCAACCUGCGUGAUCUACAACAUUACCAAAAACCCGGACACCCCGGACGAGUACUUUAUCGAGCAGAUCUCCCAAAAGGCACCGCUCUCGAUCGCACCCAUCAAGCACGAGUACUCGUACACCGGCAAGCUUACCGUCACCGACCGGGACGUACCAGCCCGAAUGACCGUACGGUUUCCGCUCAGCGUAGCCGGUUCCGCAAAGUUUGUCAUCUUCAUGACCGACUACGAUACGUACGCCGGGGUGUUUUCGUGCCAGAAGAUUCCGUUCGGCCAUCGGCAGAGUGCGACCCUGCUGUCCCGUACGCGCGAUUUGGACAAAAUCUACGUCGACAAGAUUCGCACCCGAUUGGCUUCGUACUCGGUGGAUCCGUUCGAUCUGAGCAUCGUCAACCAGACCGGCUGCCCGAAGGAGGGCGAAGCCGGAUGGAAUAUUCACAUCGACCCGGACACCUUCUCGACGCGCAACAUUGCAAACGCUUUCCGGAAGGCGGGCGAAGCGAUCGGUGACGGUUUCGAGGCUGCAGUGAACGCCGGCAAAAAGGUUCAUUUAUUUUGAGCAGUAAUGCCUGACUAGCGCCCAGCUAGCGCAAGCAAAAUCGAACAAAACACUCGAGCGCGAACGCUCGUUUACUACCGAAUAAUCUACAACAAAUAUCGCGAUGGAGACAGUGACGAGAUGGAAGCCGAAGUGGUAGAAACCGGAACCCACCGUUCCGAACGACUGAUUAAUGCAGCCGAAUGGUUGCCCUAAGCGGAC